GAAUGAAAAACAUACAUGGUACCUAAAGAGGCCAACAUAGAAGGGUUGAGUAAGUCUCCAUAAAACCCAGAGAAGAGAUGGUAAAAAUCCUUUUUGGAUCCUAUCUGGAGUCACAGCU